rnacentral:rRNA from 1 species
AACGAACGCUGGCGGCGUGGAUAAGACAUGCAAGUCGAACGGGAUUACUUUUGUAGCAAUACAGAAGUAAUUCAGUGGCGAACGGGUGCGUAACACGUGGGCAAUCUGCCGAGAAGUGGGGGAUAGCUCGCCGAAAGGCGAAUUAAUACCGCAUAUGAUCAGGGACGACAUCUUCCCAACAUCAAAGCCGGGGCAACCUGGCGCUUUUUGAGGAGCCCGCGGCCUAUCAGCUAGUUGGUGAGGUAACGCCCACCAAGGCUAUGACGGGUAGCUGGUCUGAGAGGACGACCAGUCACACUGGAACUGAGACACGGUCCAGACACCUACGGGUGGCAGCAGUCGAGAAUUUUUCUCAAUGGGGGCAACCCUGAAGGAGCGACGCCGCGUGGAGGAUGAAGGCUUU